rnacentral:tRNA from 1 species
CGUGGUAGCUCAGUUGGUGAGAGCGUCGGAUUCAUAACCCGGAGGUCGGCGGUUCGAAUCCGCCCC